GUUACUGCAGUGGCUAUUCCUGGUUGUCACCUUGACUAUAUGUGGAAUGAACUACAAUCCAGAAUUGGAAGGCUCACCAGUGAUCCUAAUCUGGAGUCUGGGAGAUAGAAGUUUCUGACCUGGAUCUUGGCAUGGAGAUCUUGUGGCAAAGUGGCUAUGAAUUCCAGAAGAUUAAGACAGGGAGGUCUCUGAGUUCAAGGUCAUCUGGGAUUAAAGGUGUGGUGGCACACACCUUUAAUCUGGGCUACAUCUUCUUCUGGAGACCUAAAUAAGGACAUUGGAAGAAGGAAAACACACAUUCUCUCUCCUCUGCCUGCUUGCCUUGUGGGACUGAGUAACUGCUAGAUCCUUGGACUUCCCAUUCACAGCUGCUGCCUACCAUUGUUGGGAGUUGGACUACAGACUGUAAUAAACGAGCCAUGUAUUCAGUUGCUCAGUGCGUGCAUUCUUUCUUUCAUCUCUCGGCUAUACAUGGACACAUUGCCUUCUAAGUAAGCCUUGCUCAUCCCCUCUGCACUCUUCCACCUGACAGCUGAGUUGCAAACUGAAAGUGACGUUGAUGCUGCCUGCCUUUUCUCCAUCCCAUCGCCGUGCAAGGAUGGAUACUGGACGAAGUUCAUCAAUUCACUCUGCCAUUCAACAGAGAUGUAAAUGGCUGAAGAUAGAAGAUAGAAGACGAUAGAUUUUACAUCCAGCCCAAGAGGAUUUGACUAUUCCAUUGAGCAGGCUCGGGUCAGCUAAGUCCUUCUCUUCAAAGCAUCAUGGGUGUCUCUGAGCAUCAUUGCAAGCUAGUCCUGGCAGUAAGCCAGGCUUCAAAAGCCUUUCACCACAGCUACUGACUCACUAAUGGGCAGCUGCAGGCUUUCUGAUUCUCCUUUCGUUUCAUGUGUUCAUUUGACAUAAAUUUAAUUAAACCAAAUCUGGUGUUAAAGC
rnacentral:lncRNA from 1 species